UGAAGUAAAAAAAACCAGAUACAUGAUAAAUAAAGUCUAAAGCUUCUUAGUAAUGCAACAAAAUAAAAAAGAAUAGAAAUGAACAUAAGAUGCUAAAGAAUACAAGCCCUAAUUUAUAGCUUUAGUAAAAUGAACUUCAUAGUUCUACUUUCUGCAGUAUGUCACGGCACAAAGAUUUUCUCCGCGAUUUCGCUUUGCAAUCACCCAAACUCCAAAGCGGACAUCUGACGGAGGUUUUGGCUUGGAACCUUCUGGAAGCUUCUACGUGGAUCUCGAGGCUGAUUGGCGCGGAUGCCGAGGAGUCAAGAGUCCCUUGGGGUUUCUAGGCAAUAAAUGUAUGACUCUUAGAAUUCCUAUGCAUAUUUAUUAUGACUCUUGGAAGACCGUAGCGUAUUUAUUGGCCUCCCCUUUUGGCUUGUAGUUUCAUACCAUUUGGCAUCUUUUCAUUGGCUUUAUGGGUGGCGAGUGGCCUAUAUAUAGUGUGGCCUCCACCCCCUCUCAUUUCAGAAUCUACUUUGUAUUCUCAAGUUGAAGUAAUAGAAUAGCUUUCUUCUUAUCUCUCUCUUGUACUUAGUCUAGGGCGAGUGAGGUCCUAACUUGUCGAGUAGAGAGGCAGGCUUGCUCACUUCGCGAAGGAAGGCGAGCGCCGCACGGGCUUUUGCGAGCAAAUUCGUUAAGUCCGUGACAAGUAGCUCCUUUUGAAGAUUCAAAAAUCAAAAAGCACGCUAGGAGAUGAAAACCUACGGCGUAGAAGUAUCACGCAUGAUGCUUUUCCAGUAUAAAGAUUCCAACAAUUAUUUUUUAUGAUUGGACGAGCGCAAAUUAAAGUUAGUUCCAAUGGUUUUUGUGAAUAUCUAAAGCAGCAACAUUUUAC
rnacentral:lncRNA from 1 species